UCCCUGGUGGCUCAGAGGUUAAAGCGUCUGCCUGCAAUGCAGGAGACAUGGGUUCGAUUCCUGGGUUGGGAA
rnacentral:tRNA from 1 species